rnacentral:rRNA from 1 species
UACGUAGGGUGCGAGCGUUAAUCGGAAUUACUGGGCGUAAAGUGUGCGCAGGCGGCAGAGCAAGUCGAGUGUGAAAGCCCCGGGCUUAACUUGGGAAUUGCGCUCGAAACUACUUUGCUGGAGUGUGGCAGAGGAAGGUGGAAUUCCACGUGAUAGCGGUGAAAUGACGUAGAGAGUGUGGAGGAAGACCAAAUGGCGAAAG